AGCAGCCGCGGUAAUUCCACCCUNCAAUAGCGUAUAUUAAAGUUGUUGCAGUUAAAAAGCUCGUAGUUGAACCUUGGGCCUGACCGAUCUGUCCUCCUAAUCGAGCGCACGGAUUCGGUUGGGCCUUUCCUUCUGGGGAGCCCUAUGCCCUUCACUGGGCGUAGUGGGGAACCAGGACUUUUACCUUGAAAAAAUUAGAGUGUUCAAAGCAGGCAUUUGCUCGAAUACAUUAGCAUGGAAUAAUAGAAUAGGACAUCGGUUCUAUUUUGUUGGUUUCUAGGACCGCUGUAAUGAUUAAUAGGGAUAGUCGGGGGCGUCAGUAUUCAAUUGUCAGAGGUGAAAUUCUUGGAUUUAUUGAAGACUAACUAUUGCGAAAGCAUUCGCCAAGGAUGUUUUCAUUAAUCAGUGAACGAAAGUUAGGGGAUCGAAGACGAUCAGAUACCGUCGUAGUCUUAACCAUAAACUAUGCCGACUAGGAAUCGGACGGUGGUUUUUUAUGCCCCG
rnacentral:rRNA from 1 species